UAACCAAUGUCUAGGAUUCUCAGGGGUUU
rnacentral:piRNA from 1 species